ensembl:lncRNA
CUUCAUGUUUGACUCAUCCGACAUGACAUGAGGACAGAAAACAGACUGGAACCGCGCGCACGGGUACUCCGGCGGCGCGCUGCAGCGGAGGAGCUGCGCCUCCUUCAUCGUUAGACGCGCCGGCCUGAAGUAUGAGAAGGAUUCAGCAGUAUGGAUGUUCUUUACCUGUUUGCGAUGCACUUGGGGGCCGCGCUGGCCUGGAUCGCCUUUGUGGUGCCUGUGCUGCCGCUGGAAUUCACCACAACCUGCCGGCUGGGAAAUAACACAGACCAUGUUGAGGGCCCUGUGAAAAUAGUCCCACACCAGGACACCACGUCGGGCUACUCUGAAUGCAUCGCUGUUCACGUUUGGAUGAAGGCUGAAGGUACAAACCAAAGCCCGCCCUGCUGUCUUACACAAACAGGAUUAAUCCAUGCAUUACCUCAUCUCUGAGCUGUCGGUGAGACAGCUGUCUGACACGGUGUGACACUCUGUUUUCUUCCAGACUUUUGUAACUCCCCUGUGAUCAAAAUUGAGCUGACAAAAAAACUCCACAGUUUUUGGGACACUUCUUUGCGCCCAAGAUGGAGAGAGGUUGGACCUGUUUCCUUUUCACCUGCAGUCUUUCAAAUGCAUGAUGUUGACGUCUGAGGUUAUGUCAUUCUUGUGUAUGUAUAGUGCAAAAAAAGAGGAAGAGGAAAGAAAAACUGCGUCUUUUGUAUGAACUCAGGGCAGUUUCCAUGCAGCACCCCCCAUCAUCAGGUAAAAUGUUCUGUUGGUUUCUUGAUAACUCAUUAAGGAUGGUUUUAUGAAUUUAAUUCUGACUAUGGUUGUGUGUUCUUUUUUCAGUGGGAGCUGGUACAUGACUGUGUCCAAGCCAAAGCUAGACGAACCCUUACUGUGACCUACAGCACAAGAAAAGCAAACUACAGUGUUAAUUACACAGUGCCAGGUGGAGUAUUUAGAGUAUUUGGCUUUUCUUUGCACACAUGUGCCCUUUUACUGCUUUGCACAACCAGUAAUUCAGAGGGGAGAAAGAAAACAGUGGCCCUUCUUUAACAAGAAUCUGAAGGGUUAAGCACAAUGUUUUCAACAAAAUUUAUAUAUAAUACAUUUAUACACACAGUUUUUAACAUGAGUAUCACAUCCGUCAGGAAUAGACUCUAUGGCGCCACUAUACAGUCAUGUUCGAAAGUUAGAACUCUUUAAAUUCCAUGUUCACUCCUGCACAGCCCCUAAGGUCCAGCCCUGCACGGUGCCUCCACCGCCAUGCUUGAUGGAGGGACACCUGCUGAUUGAAUUCAACAAGGGCUGAUGAUCAGCAGCACCUGCUGCAGCUCACCAAAAGAUAGAAAUACUUUAUUCAUCCUAAACUGUGAAACUUCACUUCCCACACACAGCAUAUUAUACACACUGUAGAUCUAUAUAAGGUAAGAAACAACAAUAUAAAAACUGAUUUACAAAAAAUAAAGAUAAAGGGAUAUACAAGGUACAUACAACAUACAAUACAAUAGAAUAAAUAUGUGCAAUUUGAAAAACUAAACCGUGUUCAGUCUCACACUCACACCUACCUAUUAACCUAACAAACACCUCUUUAGAAGAGCACCCAGAGAAAACCCACGCUGGCACAAGGAGCAUGUGCAAACUCCACAGAAACCUCCAGUCAGAACUGAACCAGGAACCUUCUUGCUGUGACGCAACAGUGCUAACCACAGCACCAGGGUGCUGCCCGUUAAGUAAAUAAUGGCACAGGGACAAAAUGUGUAUGUUGUUGUUCAUCUAAGGCUGGAUUUGAGUAAUAAAAGAACAAAGAACAAUGACGAGAAUUAAAGAC